AGUAGGUCCCAAGGGUAUGGCUGUUCGCCAUUUAAAGUGGUACGCGAGCUGGGUUUAGAACGUCGUGAGACAGUUCGGUCCCUAUCUGCCGUGGGCGCUGGAGAACUGAGGGGGGCUGCUCCUAGUACGAGAGGACCGGAGUGGACGCAUCACUGGUGUUCGGGUUGUCAUGCCAAUGGCACUGCCCGGUAGCUAAAUGCGGAAGAGAUAAGUGCUGAAAGCAUCUAAGCACGAAACUUGCCCCGAGAUGAGUUCUCCCUGAGACUUAGAGUCUCCUGAAGGAACGUUGAAGACGACGACGUUGAUAGGCCGGGUGUGUAAGCGCAGCGAUGCGUUGAGCUAACCGGUACUAAUGAACCGUGAGGCUUAACCUUAC
rnacentral:rRNA from 1 species